rnacentral:rRNA from 1 species
GAUGAACGCUGGCGGCGUGCCUAAUACAUGCAAGUAGAACGCUGAAGGAGGAGCUUGCCCUUCUGGAUGAGUUGCGAACGGGUGAGUAACGCGUAGGUAACCUGCCUGGUAGCGGGGGAUAACUAUUGGAAACGAUAGCUAAUACCGCAUGACAACAGUUAUUGCAUGAUAACUGUUUAAAAGGGGCAACUGCUCCACUACCAGAUGGACCUGCGUUGUAUUAGCUAGUUGGUGAGGUAACGGCUCACCAAGGCGACGAUACAUAGCCGACCUGAGAGGGUGAUCGGCCACACUGGGACUGAGACACGGCCCAGACUCCUACGGGAGGCAGCAGUAGGGAAUCUUCGGCAAUGGACGGAAGUCUGACCGAGCAACGCCGCGUGAGUGAAGAAGGGUUUCGGAUCGUAAAGCUCUGUUGUAAGAGAAGAACGAGUGUGAGAGUGGAAAGUUCACACUGUGACGGUAGCUUACCAGAAAGAGACGGCUAACUACGUG